rnacentral:rRNA from 1 species
GGGAUGAACGCUGGCGGCGUGCCUAAUACAUGCAAGUCGAGCGGUAAGGCCCCUUCGGGGGUACACGAGCGGCGGACGGCUGAGUAACACGUAGGAACGUACCCCAAAGUGAGGGAUAAGCACCAGAAAUGGUGUCUAAUACCGCAUGUGGCCUUCGGGCUAAAGCUUUAUGCGCUUUGGGAGCGGCCUGCGCAUGAUUAGCUUGUUGGUGAGGUAAUAGCUC